CCAGUGACAGCUGAGUUGUGGGCUGGCUGUUGCAGGCACUGCUGUCGGAGGCACUGGGGGUGCUGGGUGUGGUGCGGAAGGAGCGCCUCCUCUACCUGGUGGGGCAGACCCGGGUGCACCUGGACCGUGUGGAUGGCCUGGGGGAUUUCAUGGAGCUGGAGGUGGUACUGAAUGAGGAGCAGAGCCUCCAGGACGGGGAGCAGGUGGCCCGGGCACUGAUGGAGGAGCUGGGGGUCCGGGAGGAGGAUCUCAUCUCUGGGGCCUAUCUGGACCUGCUCCUGGCCCAGGGGGAGUUGCAGCAGUGAGCUUUAGCCCUGCCCUGGCUUGCACCCUGACUGCCAGGAAGACGGUCCGGAGUCCCCCCAUCCUCCAUGUACACAUCUCCCUGCCGCUGUGAUGGGUGGGCGGCUUAGGCCCUCCUCUGCCCAUCUGAGUGGGGGUGCAGCAUGAGUUCAGCCUCACCCUGCCCAAGGGGCUGCCUGUGAGGACAUGCCCUUGUUUCUAGGAUGUGCCCCCACCCCCAAGGGAGGGGCUGGCUGGCUUCAAUAAAUACUCAGUUCUGGACCAGG